rnacentral:rRNA from 1 species
CUCGUAGGCGGUUCGUCGCGUCCGGUGUGAAAGUCCAUCGCUUAACGGUGGAUCCGCGCCGGGUACGGGCGGGCUGGAGUGCGGUAGGGGAGACUGGAAUUCCCGGUGUAACGGUGGAAUGUGUAGAUAUCGGGAAGAACACCAAUGGCGAAGGCAGGUCUCUGGGCCGUUACCGACGCUGAGGAGCGAAAGCGUGGGGAGCGAACA